CCAUAAAAGACACUAAUUCAAGGCAAUUUUCGUGAUCCCCAUUUUAAAAAAAAAUUCCCACACUAAUUAUCUAUCACCUUUCUAUCUAAAUCACCAAUUAGGUUUGAAAAUUUUGGAAAAUCUCUCUCCGCCACCGGCAAAGUCAUCCGGUCUUGUUGUCGUCGCCGCUGUAACAUCGCCGGCCACUAUUUCCCGUUCUCCUAAUCAACUCCAUUUGCUGGUGCAUCUUCACCAGUCCUUUCAAUUGUGGUGCUACCUCAAGGAAUUACAGAAUCACGUCUUCCAAAUUUGUUGCUACUACGACUGCCAUCAGAUCCCCAACGAGUUUUUACAUGCUGAGUACGGUGGUGUAGGAACAUUAUUGGUUGUUCCAUUCAUCGAUAUGGCAGAUACCAUAAACGAUAGGGGUUUACCAGAAUACAUUGCAUGGUUUUGGGAGAGAAGAUGGAGGAGGAAGAAAGAGCAAUAAGCAGAGCUACCAGACAAGUUACUGGAUCAUAAGGAGUUUACAACAUAGAAAUUUUGUUUUGUAUAAAUAAUACUAAUAAACUGUUUGUAAAAAUUAUUCAUUCAAUUAUAAAUGACACUUUCAAGGGGAAAAAAGAGGACGCUCAAGAAGUUAUUAGGAAUAUUCUUUGCUUUUGAAAUAUUAUACAUAAACUUCUGGACUAUUCAAUACUCUUCAGAUCUUUGUACAUGUGAGCUUUUUAGUGCACACAUCAGUACUUGUUCCUGCAAAUUAUCGUAAAGUGCACAGA